UACGAGGGGGGCUAGCGUUGCUCGGAAUCACUGGGCGUAAAGCGCACGUAGGCGGCUUUCUAAGUCAGGGGUGAAAUCCUGGAGCUCAACUCCAGAACUGGCCUUUGAUACUGGCGAUCUUGAGUUCGGGAGAGGUGAGUGGAACUGCGAGUGUAGAGGUGAAAUUCGUAGAUAUUCGCAAGAACACCAGUGGCGAAGGCGGCUCACUGGCCCGAUACUGACGCUGAGGUGCGAAAGCGUGGGGAGCAAACAGG
rnacentral:rRNA from 1 species